GAGGCUUUAGCUUAAUUAAAGCGUCUGAGUUGCAAUUAGAUGAUGUGAGUUAUUGCUUGCAGGUCUUC
rnacentral:tRNA from 1 species